UUGGUCUCCACUGCACAACAAGGGGGAUUGUGGGUAAGUUUGUACUCUGUUGUCUCACAACAGUAGGGUCACAGAUCAGAGACGAAACCAGGAAGUGAUCAGAUAAAUGGGGGAGAACAACUCUAAAGGGAUGCCAGACACUGUGUGACGGUACACCAUGACAUUGUAUACGUGAUAGGAAGGAAUGGGCCCUGAAGCACAGAUCAGCCCCUGGUCCUAGUAUCUUCAGUCUGUUUACUAUCCUAAUGGCAAUCAUUGCAAAAGAACUAAACAAGUCAAAUAUACACUUCUCAAUAUAACUUCAUUAAGUAGAGCCCUGUCCAAAACCAUCAGCUGAUCAAGUCUGAGAACAAUCGGUGAUCCCUAAAGACUUCCUGACCCCCUACAGUCAUAUUACUAAGAAGUUGGCUGACCUGUCAUGGUAACUUUAUCCUAAAAGGGAGAUAGAGAAACGUGAAAUAAAUGUAUAUACGUCAAGUGUGCAACCAAAUGAUUAUGAUGCCACAAUGACAUUAUUGGACUACGGCACUGCAUGGAUAGCCAUUCCCAAUAUUCUCAAUGGGAGCAUCCCCAAACUUCCAUACAGGCCUAGAGGGAAACUCUCUAUAGUCGGCUCAGGGAUCGCUAUUUUGUCCCGUAAAAUGCUGGACACCAUGAAACAAGACUGACCACGAUGGAAUCCAUUGGAUGCCAUGGAUGUUCCACAUGCGUCAGAUUUCGACAUUAUUACUGUGUUUUGAUGUUCUGCUUCUAUGACGGAGCAGAACAGCGAAAAUGUAUAGCAGUGGUGUGAGCCUAGCCUCAUGCAGUGUAUUUCUCUGGUGGUUUAAAAGAGCGUUUUUCAUUUAAUUUUUGGUGGCAUUUUUUCUAUUCCGAGUCAUUUUGUACAUCCGUUUUUAAAGUCCUACAGAAGCUGUCUUUUACUUAACGGACCCACAAAAGCCACAAAACGGGCACAAACCAAAACAAGUCGCAUGCAGUGCAUUUUUUAUUUCACUAAAGAGUUUAAUGUAACUUAUGGCCACCCUGGAGAUCACGAUUGGUCUCCAAACUGUGGACCUCCAGCUGUUGCAAGACUACAACUCCCAGGAUGCCAGGACAGCCAAUGGUUGGUCAAACAUGCUGGGAGUUGUAGUUGUAGUCCUUACACUGCUGUAAU